rnacentral:tRNA from 1 species
GGGCCUGUAGCUCAGAGGUAGAGCAACUGGUUUACACCCAGCGCGUCGGGGGUUCGAUCCCCUCCGGGCCCA